UACGUAGGGUGCAAGCGUUAAUCGGAAUUACUGGGCGUAAAGCGUGCGCAGGCGGUUUUGUAAGUUUGUCGUGAAAGCCCCGGGCUCAACCUGGGAAUGGCGAUGAAGACUGCAAGGCUUGAAUCUGGCAGAGGGGGGUAGAAUUCCACGUGUAGCAGUGAAAUGCGUAGAGAUGUGGAGGAACACCGAUGGCGAAGGCA
rnacentral:rRNA from 1 species